AGGGCGGAGCCCUGGCAACCACCCAGCCGCCUUCAGGCGCAGCUCUGCCCGGCCGGGUCUGCCCUGCUGAGUUUCCGCACACACCAGAGCGGCUCACGUGGUUUCUGACGUUAUAAGAGAGAGUGGCGAGGUGAGGCCCAGGCCCGUGAGAUGGGCCGGGGGUCUUCCGGGACCCAGCAGUCCAUCGUCCCUCCAUUCAGGGCUCCUCGUGAGGCAAGAGAGCCCAGACACAACUGGACCUCCUUCCCCGUCCUUGACUGACGUCUCUUGGGACCUCUCUUUCCAGAUCGAAAACAGGCCGGCAAAGCUUGGAAUUACCUGUCCCAGAGCAGGAGUCCAUGGAGCUGGGCCACCAAGCAGACACUGGCAAACCCCGCUGCUGUCCAUCGGCCUUCUCUGAAAAAGAACCUGGAGGAAUCUGAAUGCCCAGCUGCUAAAUCCUGCCCCAUUGGUCGGUCUCCCACCGGAAGUCAAUCCCCAACACAGUGGU